UGAUGAUGAUGAUGAUGAUGAUGAUGAUGAUGAUGAUGAUGAUGAUGAUAGUGGAGGUGGUGCUGAUUCGAGUUGCAUUACAUCAUUCUCGGACUUGAAACGAGCUGCUGGGAAUAAUCAACUCUCGACAUCCACCACAUUUCCACCUCCCCCGUCACCGCUACCUUUUAGCCACCCACCCACCACCCACAUAACCCUUGUCCUUAUCUCUUUUAAAAAUUGAAAAACUAAAUGUAAAAACAGCAACAACAACAACAUCAGCAACAGCAGGAAAUAAAACCAUCCUUUUGUUUAACGUCUUUGACAUCCGUUUCGUAAGAAAACCUGAGUGGAUCAGCACUUGGAGGAGGCUGAAGUUAUUUAAGGAGACAGUUACAUCUACACACACACACACACACACACACACACACACACACACACACACACUCAUAGGUGGGCAUCAGCCCAUACAUCUUUGCAUACAUAUGCAUACAUAUAUACACACACAUGUACGUAUGUAUAAAUACAGCAUCGAAAAUGUUGUCAAUCAGAUUGAAGUCUCAGCGUCUUCACGUGAAGAAGCGAAACAGAGUAACAAAGAGAGUGAGAAAUUAGCAGACGAUUUACUUCCAGCACCAUCAGAAGAACUACACAAUAAGGAAAAGACAAGAGCUUCUGAUUCUCUUCACACCAAACCAUUUCUUGUUCUUCUUCAAUCGUAUUUCUUUGUAACCAACACCCAAGAAAACAAUGCAGAGUCAUCAAUACAUCGCCGUUGUUAGUCUGCUGUUGGCUGCAUUUGUGGCACCUGGUUCCUGCCGAUGGUUUUACAACACUCAACUGAACUGCUUCACUGAGUGCAUGACUUGUCUAAUGACUGGACUUGACUGCCAGCCUCACCAACCGUUUCCUUCAGGCUAUGAAGACUGUGAAUUCAGCUGUUUCAUGUCGCCGGACGUUCUUAACGAAACCCUUCCAGCAAUUCAAAGCAGUCUGCACUUCUGCAGGGAUAUUCACAAACGAGAUCUCAACGAUCUUGGUUUGUGUAUCCGUGAACAUAUAGAAAAGUUUUAUCCAGACUUCUACAAGAAAUUACCUUGGCUGCCUCUCUAUGAAACGACGACAUAGGAAGAAUGGAAAAGAGAAGAAGAAAAAAACAGUGUAUUAGAUGUGAAAUUGCAAGAAAUAUUGCAAAUAUUUAAAGAAUUUCAAAUGCUUCAAAACUACAAAAAUAUUUUUUUAAAAACCUAUUAACAUUUAGGAUAUAUUUCUCUCUCUCUCUCUCUCACUCUCUCGGUAUAUAUCAAUACAUAUACAUGUAUAUAUACAUUAAUAUAUACAUAUAUACACACACAUGUAUAUAUAUAUAUACAGUAUGUAUGUAUAUAUAUAUAUAUAUAUAUAUCAUUAUCAUCAAUUUAUGAUUAUAUAUAUACAUAUUUAUACAUGCACAUGUAUAUAUAUAUAUCUCUCUCUCUCUCUCUCUCUAUAUAUAUAUAUAUAUAUAUAUACAU